rnacentral:rRNA from 1 species
CACGUAGGGCGCAAGCGUUGUCCGGAAUUAUUGGGCGUAAAGAGCUCGUAGGCGGUCUGUUGCGUCCGCUGUGAAAACUCGGGGCUUAACCCCGAGCCUGCAGUGGAUACGGGCAGACUAGAGGUAGGUAGGGGAGAAUGGAAUUCCCGGUGUAGCGGUGAAAUGCGCAGAUAUCGGGAGGAACACCGGUGGCGAAGGCGGUUCUCUGGGCCUUACCUGACGCUGAGGCGCGAAAGCUAGGGUAGCAAACAGG